GACGAACGCUGGUGGCGUGCCUAAUACAUGCAAGUCGAGCGGAAGUUGAAGAGCUUGCUCUUCAACUUCAGCGGCGGACGGGUGAGUAACACGUGGGCAACCUGCCCUGCAGAUCGGGAUAACUCCGGGAAACCGGUGCUAAUACCGAAUAGUUUUCGCCACCUCCUGGUGGCGUACGGAAAGACGGUUUCGGCUGUCACUGCAGGAUGGGCCCGCGGCGCAUUAGCUAGUUGGUGGGGUAACGGCCCACCAAGGCGACGAUGCGUAGCCGACCUGAGAGGGUGAUCGGCCACACUGGGACUGAGACACGGCCCAGACUCCUACGGGAGGCAGCAGUAGGGAAUCUUCCGCAAUGGACGAAAGUCUGACGGAGCAACGCCGCGUGAGUGACGAAGGUUUUCGGAUCGUAAAACUCUGUUGUGAGGGAAGAACAAGUACCAACUAACUACUGGUACCUUGACGGUACCUCACCAGAAAGCCACGGCUAACUACGUGCCAGCCGCCGCGGUAAAAC
rnacentral:rRNA from 1 species